rnacentral:rRNA from 1 species
GUGCUACACAUGCAAGUCCGACGUGAAAGGGGAGCAAUCCCCCGGUAGGGUGGCAAACGGGUGAGUAAGACAUGGGUGAUCUGCCCUGGAGAUGGGGAUAUCCCUCCGAAAGGGGGGGCAAUACCGAAUAGUAUCCGGUUCCGUGAAGGGGGCCGGGGAAAGGGAGGCCUCUGGUACAAGCUUCCGCUCCUGGAUGAGCCCAUGGCCCAUCAGCUAGUUGGUAGGGUAAAGGCCUACCAAGGCGACGACGGGUAGCUGGUCUGAGAGGACAACCAGCCACACUGGCACUGAGACACGGGCCAGACUCCUACGGGAGGCAGCAGUGAGGAAUAUUGCGCAAUGGGGGCAACCCUGACGCAGCAACGCCGCGUGUGGGAAGAAGGCUUUCGGGUUGUAAACCACUUUUGCCCGGGACGAAAGGGGGGACCUGAAUAAGGUUGCCCGAUGACGGUACCGGGAGAAUAAGCCACGGCUAACUCUGUGCCAGCAGCCGCGGUAAGACAGAGGUGGCAAGCGUUAAUCGGAAUCACUGGGCGUAAAGGGUGCGUAGGCGGUACGUUAGGUCUGUCGUGAAAUCCCCGGGCUCAACCUGGGAAUGGCGGUGGAAACCGGUGUACUAGAGUAUGGGAGAGGGUGGUGGAAUUCCAGGUGUAGCGGUGAAAUGCGUAGAGAUCUGGAGGAACAUCAGUGGCGAAGGCGGCCACCUGGCCCAAUACUGACGCUGAGGCACGAAAGCGUGGGGAGCAAACAGGAUUAGAUACCCUGGUAGUCCACGCCCUAAACGAUGAAUACUAGAUGUUUGGUGCCUAGCG